GUUACUAAGCUACCCGAGGAUCAGAAGCUUCAACGGUUUGGUGAGAUGGUGAAUCACACUGGAAAGAUAACCGUAGCGACGACUCUACUAGGAUGUAUUGAUCCAGUUGUCCUAUGGGUUCUGGAAGAUGUCAACAAAGAAGUAUGGUCAAAAACUGUUGUCGUGGUGCCUUCUCUUCCAGAUAGAUUUGGAAUGUCUUAUGAGUUCGCGUUCAAGGGUAUCCUUGGUACUGGGGAGAUGAUAUUCGCACCGAGGACAACCCCAUCCCCAUCCCCUAACCCGUUUUUUUUUGUUUGUUACAAUCCGGAGGGGGGAAAAUUCAGAAAAAUUGAGAUUGAUGAACUUGUAGAUUACCCUGUGUUUAUCCAAGUCUUUGUCGAUCAUGUAGAGAGUUAUAUGGUUCUGUCAAAGGUAUGUUAAUGAUCCUUAUUACUGUAAUUGUGACAUCUGAUAAAACAGUUUAUUCAGUCUUUUCAUCAAUGACGUUGUGUGAUUGUGGAUUUUAUAUGCAAGUAUGAGUUGUUUCAAGUUUUGGUUUUGGAUUUUUUUUUUUUUUUUUGGUUUAUAUUGUCACUUAAAAAUAUAUAGCUAUGUAAUGUGGAUAUAUCAAUCUUACAUUCUUACUACUGAUAUGAUUCACAAUUUCACAUACAAUAUAUGGGUCCUCUUCGCUUUGGCCCCAACCAUCCUGUGCACCUUAUAUGCAUGGUAUACUCCUUAUUCUCAGCAUUGUCUUUCUGAAACUUCUUUUAAAUCUUAUUCUUCUUCUUGAAUGAUCUCUUAGGUAACGGUGUUACUGGCUCCAUAGACUCUGCUAUUGUCUGCUUUCCGAGAUACCAUUGAACAUCUAGAAGCAGAGACCACACACCAUUUGUAUACACUAUGCACAACUAUUUUAGCCAUUAGCCUGCCCCUCCUUGUUCGACAAUAUACCCUCACAUGGCUUCAGCCUCAUACAUUGUUCCCCUGAAUAUGCAUUAUGUUUCUUACAGGCAUGUGGGACCGGUUCGAUCAACUGGGUUUAGGAUACAUCCGCGAGACAAUGGACUGCCUCACUUUAAAGCAAUUCACGCAGAUGUAAUAUCACCUUGAACACAUUUUCCAUCUUCUAAUGUCAGCUUGUUCAAGAAUGGUUGUUCUUCAAGAUUGGCUUUUAUCUGUUAAGUAUGUUGAUCAUCAUCAAGACAUACGAAGUGAGUCCACAGUUACUCCUUACCAAAUAUCUCCAUGAUUAAGCUUCAACUUAUAGAUUUUUGCCGAAUACACACACUGGUUUUUCUUAUUACACAUCAGGAGCUUCUUGCUUUGAUCGGCCAUAUUGCAACUCUCAAGACUGGCUUGUCAGAAUAAGUUGAAUCAAAAAUAAUAAGAAACAUGGCCAGGCGUUAUCAGUGAUGAAACAAUAGAGUAGAAUUUACUAGAUAUUUAGAUGAAAUAAAGAGCUAGAACAAGAUUUCUACUUGGAAAACUUUUACUGUCUCACUUAUCAAUAACAUUUUACUAGAGCAUAUAAGUUUCUGAAGACUUGAAAGGAAACAGAAUGUUCCGGUCCCAGACAUUGCUGAUGUCGCUAGUGUUACUCGUUGAGACACGCGCAGGGUGGCAGAGGAGAGAGAGGAGUUUGACUGGACCAUUAAAGGAUUAGAAUCAGACAAAAUUUAUACUCCUAUUUAAUAAGCUGAUUAACACUGCCAUGUUAUGCUUUUAAUGACACUCCGAGACCUUUUCAAUAAUUAAUUCAACUAUUAGCCUCUUUUAAGACAUUUUCUAGUCAAGUACUAAUAAAGAGAGACGAAUGCUAUUUCUAUGAGAUUGGAUGUUGAUUUUGUGGGAUUUGAUCAUGUGAUCAAACUUUAAAAUGGAGAAUGAUUGAAUGUAAGCAUCCUCAUCUUCCUCCUCCUCUUAGUGUCAUUACUAAAGGGAUAUGCAUAAAUGGAUAAAAAACGACGACUGUAUUAUUAUGCUUGGAUAAAAAAACGAAGCAUCCUUGAUAAGCUUCGAUCUGAUAUCUGAAGACUUUAAUGCCAUUAAGUUACCUGAGGAUAUCCCAUGCGUAGAUAAUUACAAUGGAAAGGUAGCUAUAACGAGUUGACCUACCCGUAAUGGUGAAGUUCACUUAUGGAUUCUAGAAGAUGCCAAUAAACAAGAAUGGUCAAAAGUUUCAAUUGUUGUUCCUUCUUGGAUAGAUUUAAUUGACAUUCAUCAUGGACACAGAUUCAGGGGUACACUUAGUACUGGCGAGCUUAUAUCUGCACCUAGGACCCUUCACAUUGACCCGUUCUAUUUCAUCAGUUAAAAUCUCAAGGAAAACAUCGCCAAGAAAGUUGUGGUUGAAGAACUUGGAGACCCCUAUGCUUCACGCGAAGUCUAUUUUGAUCAUGUAGAUAGUCUUAUAUUCUGUCAAAUGUAAGUUAACCCUUGUGGUGUUGCCUUUCAUUUUGAUCAUGUGUUGGACCUGGCUGUUUUACAUUUGAUUUUCUUAUUUGCUUUACAUUUGAACAAAAACAAUAUCUUAAAGAAUGGGUCAAUUGACUAUUUGAAGAAUGAGACAGAAUGUUACAUGAUGAUGUCCGACUUGUAGAAGAGUUUUGUAAUUACAGUGAAAUGAUAUCUUUGACGAGUCAGUCCGAUAACAACUAACAAUGUAUAAUCAUUUUGGUUGGAAUGAUAUCUUUGUUCCCAUUCAAUUGUUCUAACAUCUUUUUUUGCUCGAGCUAUUAAACUCAAUACGCAAGAGCCUUGUGAUGAAACUUGAAAUAUAUAGUAGUAUAUACAAGAUAGUUCUUGAUUAAAGUGACUUCAGUUUCCACUUGUGACUCACCUUCUUUAAGGCUAUUUUAGCAACCAUCUUUAAAUUUUGUCCUAAAGAGUUUCUUUUCACAAAAAAACGUCUUUUCUGUUAGCGUUUUUUUUUAUAAAGAGAUGUUCACCUUGCAAAUUCACAAAUAUAAACACCACAUCGCUUGAACAUAAAAAAAAACACCACAUCGCAAAGAAAUACUUGAAUACAGAGGGAGGAAUUGGAAUGGUCGUGGAAAGUGAGGGUUUUAUUUGCAAAUCUCCUAACUCUCUACUUUUACAUUUUUCAGGUAUUUAAAACUCUAUUAAAUACUGCCACUAAAGAUGGCUUAAGGAUUUCCAUUCACAUAAUAAGCAAGAGGCGUUUCCAGCUGCAUUCUCCAAAAUGUGAUACAAAUCUAUAAAAUAUUAACACAUCAAGGAAUUGGUAUUGUCAGCAUUCAAAUCUAAAUAUACAUUAACAACCGGUGGUAGUCUAGUGGUAAAAAAAGAGUUUGAGAUGAGAUAUACAGUCGUCGGUUGUAGAUUUCAUUUCUGUUAGAAACUAAAUUAUCAUUUGAUUAGCCAUGUAAAAUUAAACUUUGUUUGCCUCAUUUAGAAAGAAAAAAAAACAAGUUUUAAUUACUAGUCGGUUUCGAUCUUUAAAAGAUUAUAUGGGUCUCGGUCCAUACAUUUUUUAAACUUUGUUUGCCUCAUUUAGAAGAAAAAAAUAAGUUUUAAUUACUAGUCAGUUUCGAUCUUUAAAGGAUUAUUAUAUGGGUCUCGGCCCAUACAUUUUUUAAAUUUUGUUUGUUUCGUUUAGAAAAACAGAUUCGAAUUAAUAGUCGGCUUGGAUCUUCAGAGAAAUGUUUGGAUCUCGGCCCAGACAUCUACAAGUAUAUAAAAAGAUAUAUCUAGGUUAAAGGAAGAUAUUAGGGUUAAGAGCCAAAAGAAUCAAACUGUGAGAGGCAGAGUUGAAAACAGUCAUGGAAAUGGUCAAGAGGUCUAAGAAACAAGACGAAAUGAAUGUAAACGAUCCGUUUAUGACGCUUCAAAAUGACAUGAACGUAGAGAUUCUCAUGAAACUGCCGCCGGGAUCCAUAGCCAGGCUCCUUUUCGCUUCUAAACACUUGUCAUCGAUAAUCCUCGGCAAAGAGUUCACCGAGUUGUACAGGACUCGAUCUUCGACUCAGCCGCGUCAUCUUGUCUCAGUGCACGGUGGCCACCCGUACGUGUGGAGGCACCGCUUUCACUCCAUCUCUCAAGAGUAUCCGUCUGCUAAUCAUGACAAGGUUAGUUGUAGUGUGGAUCCGUAUGGACCGUGUCUAGCGACGUAUGACUUUACUCCACCUGUUCGCGGCUUGAUCUUUGGUCGGCACUGUAGCAAUAUGGUGGUCGGGAACCCUGGCACGGGUCAGUUCGUAUUUUUACCUAGAGUCGAAACGACGCAUCAAUGCAUAUUAUGUGUUUUUGGAUAUGAUCCAGUUAAUGAUGUGUACAAAGUGUUGUGCAUGACGGUGGUAACUAAAUACACACCUUGUGAUGCUAUGUCGGAGGUGCAUCAAGUGAUCACCGUAGGAGCCAAAGAAAAAUGGAGGAUGGUCGAGUGUAAGUAUCCAUAUCAUCAUUAUCCUGGAUAUCAAGAGAUAUGCAGGGAUGGAGUUAUAUAUUAUUUAGCUUCUUACAAAGGAAAAAAAUCUCUAAUGAGGUUUGAUCUGAGUUCUGAAGACUUUAAUGUUACUAAGCUACCCGAGGAUCAGAAGCUUCAACGGUUUGGUGAGAUGGUGAAUCACACUGGAAAGAUAACCGUAGCGACGACUCUACUAGGAUGUAUUGAUCCAGUUGUCCUAUGGGUUCUGGAAGAUGUCAACAAAGAAGUAUGGUCAAAAACUGUUGUCGUGGUGCCUUCUCUUCCAGAUAGAUUUGGAAUGUCUUAUGAGUUCGCGUUCAAGGGUAUCCUUGGAACUGGGGAGAUGAUAUUCGCACCGAGGACAACCCCAUCCCCAUCCCCUAACCCGUUUUUUUUUCUUUGUUACAAUCCGGAGGGGGGAAAAUUCAGAAAAAUUGAGAUUGAUGAACUUGUAGAUUACCCUGUGUUUAUCCAAGUCUUUGUCGAUCAUGUAGAGAGUUAUAUGGUUCUGUCAAGGGUAUGUUAAUGUUCCUUAUUAUUGUAAUUGUGACAUCUGAUAAAACAGUUUAUUCAGUCUUUUCAUCAAUGACGUUGUGUGAUUGUGGAUUGUAUAUGCAACUAUGAGUUGAUUCAAGUUUUGGUUUUCGAUUUUUUUUUUUUUUUGGUUUAUAUUGUGACUUAAAAAUAUAUAGCUAUGUAAUGUGGAUAUAUCAAUCUUACAUUCUUACUACUGAUAUGAUUCACAAUUUCGCAUACAAUAUAUGGGUCCUCUUUGCUUUGGCCCCAACCAUCCUGUGCACCUUAUAUGCAUGGUAUACUCCUUAUUCUCAGCAUUGUCUUUCUGAAAUUUCUUUUAAAUCGUGAGAUGGUGAAUCACACUGGAAAGAUAACCGUAGCGACGACUCUACUAGGAUGUAUUGAUCCAGUUGACCUAUGGGUUCUGGAAGAUGUCAACAAAGAAGUAUGGUCAAAAACUGUUGUCGUGGUGCCUUCUCUUCCAGAAAGAUUUGGAAUGUCUUAUGAGUUCGUGUUCAAGGGUAUACUUGGAACUGGGGAGAUGAUAUUCGCACCGAGGACAACCCCAUCCCCAUCCCCUAAC
rnacentral:lncRNA from 1 species